AGUGGCGAACGGGUGAGUAAUACAUCGGAACAUGUCCUGGAGUGGGGGAUAGCUCGGCGAAAGCCGGAUUAAUACCGCAUACGCUUUGAGGAGGAAAGCGGGGGACCUGUAAGGGCCUCGCGCUGCAGGAGUGGCCGAUGUCGGAUUAGCUAGUUGGUGAGGUAAAGGCUCACCAAGGCGACGAUCCGUAGCUGGUCUGAGAGGAUGAUCAGCCACACUGGGACUGAGACACGGCCCAGACUCCUACGGGAGGCAGCAGUGGGGAAUUUUGGACAAUGGGGGCAACCCUGAUCCAGCCAUGCCGCGUGAGUGAAGAAGGCCUUCGGGUUGUAAAGCUCUUUCGGACGGAACGAAACGGUUAGCGUGAAUAUCGCUGACUAAUGACGGUACCGUAAGAGAGCC
rnacentral:rRNA from 1 species